CACGUAGGGGGCAAGCGUUGUCCGGAUUUAUUGGGCGUAAAGAGCUCGUAGGCGGCUCAGUAAGUCAGGUGUGAAACCUCCAGGCUCAACCUGGAGACGCCACCUGAUACUGCUGUGGCUAGAGUCCGGUAGGGGAGCGUGGAAUUCCUGGUGUAGCGGUGAAAUGCGCAGAUAUCAGGAGGAACACCAGCGGCGGAAGGCGGCGCUCUGGGCCGGAACUGACGCUGAGGUGCGAAAGCGUGGGGAGCAAACAGG
rnacentral:rRNA from 1 species